CCGCCCUUCACCUUUUUGUGGUGUAACCUGUCUUUUCCUGGAGUGCACUGAAACUGCUGCUGCUAAGUCGCUUCAGUCGUGUCUGACUCUGUGCGACCCCAUAGACAGCAGCCCACCAGGCUCCCCCGUCCCUGGGAUUCUCCAGGCAAGAACACUGGAGUGGGUUGCCAUUUCCUUCUCCAAUGCAUGAAAGUGAAAAGUGAAAGUGAAGUCGCUCGGUCGUGCACUGAAACUAGUCUUCACCAAGUACCGCACUCCUAUUUAAGCUUUCUACUCCCGUCCUACUCUGCUUUUUACCACUCCUCUUACCCUGAGAGCACUUUCUCAAUCGCUUUUAUGAAUCUUCAUUUCAGCCCCCACUACUCAGGAACCUGAUGCGAAGAGCUGACUCAUUGGAAAAGACCCUGAUGCUGGGAAAGAUUGAGGGCAGGAGGAGAAGGGGACGACAGAGGAUGAGAUGGUUGGAUGGCAUCACUGACUCAAUGGACCUGAGUUUGGGUGGACUCCAGGAGUUGGUGAUGGACAGGGAGGCCUGGCGUGUGCGGUUGAUGGGGUCGCAGAGUAGGCCACAACUGAGCGACUGAACUGACUGAACUCAGGAACCCAAUUUAAGAGCACUGGCUUCAGAAGUGAACUUUAGAAACCCCCUGUGAGGCUGCGAUUCUGGAGCUGGCUUGCUUGCCCUGUGGAUGGCCGUGAGGAGAGACCUCAUUUUCCUGCAAUGGGCGUUCGAGUAUGUGGACAUUUUAUACACACCAGCAGCAGUUCUACAGCUUAUACUGUUUCCGAUCAUCUCAUGAAUAAUCACCAGAGGCUUGGCUUCCUCUCCAUGCUCACCUGUCUGUUGGGGGUCUGUGGCCUGCCUUCACUGGGAGACCGGGACUGACGGCGCUCUGGGGACUCCCAGUCGGCCUGGGUCCCUCGCUCCUCGGAGUUGCAGCGGGAGACGUCAGGAGAGAGAAGAUGCUUUCGCUCUUUCGAUCGUCCCCGCUCUCUGCCCCCCGAGCGGUGGGUGUCGGACUUGUGGCCUAUGAGAGAUGAAAAAGCAGUGAAUCAUAACUCUACCCAUCCUGGCUGCUGAACAAUUCUUACAGUCUGGGACCGAGCCUCUCAAGGACCCUGACUUCUUCAGGCAUGUCAACAGGUGAUCUGAAAGGGAGGCAGAAAAGGCUGGAAAAUUAACUUUUUGUGAAGAGUUCUCAUCAGGAUCAGCCCUUCGAGAGCAGGAGCACCGCAGAGAGUGAAGACCUUCUCACCUGAGUCUGAGUUCAGACGGUGGGCUGACAGCCUCAGGGAGGAGUGGUAACUCCGGCGCCGCGACUUGUAGGUGUUUUCGCUGCUUCGCUCCAUGGAGAAUUCCUCCAGCCACGAGGAAUUUGAACGCUUAUCGCGAAUGGUGGAAAAUGAACGUCUCAUGGAGCUGGGGUCUGUCACCACCUGGAAACAUGAGCCCCCGCCCCGCCCAGGAACACAAGAGAUUGUUGUUCCUGGAACUGUCCAUCAUCAGCUGGGUCCAUACAGGCUAACUGGAAUAUUUCCUGCGGGGAGAGUGGACUCAUCGAAGGGUAUGCACUCCGGCCACUCCUGCAAAGCAAUGCCACGUUCAGAGGUGUAAACUCAGUGAGAGAGGAGCACAGUCAUGUUCACCACGCUGCCCCCAGAGCAGUCACUGCUUGAACCCUACAGGGCUUGAGAAACACAGCUGGUCCCGAGGAACACCAGCGCUGCUCCAUGAAUGUCUCCAUUUCAGAAGAUGGGCCAUCAUCUGCCUAAAGCUCAAACCAGAAACCCAAAGGGCUCCCUAUCUCUCGAGCUGGCCACGGCACCAAUAUGUGCUCAGCCUGCUUUUGUGUUACUCCCCGCUGAAUAGCCAUUGUAAGAUACAACACGUUGGACUUCUCUGCUGGUCCAGUGGUUAAGAACCCACCUGACGAUGCAUGAGUUUGAUCCCUGGUCAGGGAAGAUUUUACAUGUCAUGGGGCAACUGAGCCCAUGCUCCCUAGAGCCCAUGUUC